GAUGAACGCUGGCGGCGUGCCUAAUACAUGCAAGUCGAGCGAACGGAUGAGAAGCUUUCUUUUCUGAUGUUAUCGGCGGACGGGUGAGGAACACGUGGUUAACCUAACUAUAAGACUGGGAUAAUUUUGGGAAAUCGGAGCUAAUACCGGAUAAUAUUUUGAACUUGAUUGUUCAAAAGUGAAAGUAGGUCUUUGUGUCACUUAUAGAUUGCUCCGCGCUGCAUCAGUUAGUUGGUAAGGUAGCGGCUUACCAAGGCAACGAUGCAUACCCGACCCGAGAGGGUGAACGGCCAGACUGGAACUGAGACACGGUACAGACUCCGACGGGAAGAAACGGUCGGGACUCCUCCGCGAUGCACGAGAGGCGAACAGAGCAACGCCGGGUAAGUGAUGAACGUCUUCUGAUCGUAGAACUCUGUAAUUAGGGAAGAUGAAAAGUGUAAGUACCUGUGAUGAUCAUGACGGUACCUAAACAAUAAGCCACGGCUAACUCCGUG
rnacentral:rRNA from 1 species